rnacentral:tRNA from 3 species
GCCCAGGUGGUGAAAUUGGUAGACACGCUACUUUGAGGGGGUAGUGCCCGUUCGGGUGUGCAAGUUCAAGUCUUGUCCUGGGCACCA